ACACAUUUAUCUUUAAAUCACACACAUUCCGACACAUGUUCCGGGGUGCUUCCAACGUUACAAACGUUGAGGAGUCGGAGACAUGGGGGAUGUGGAGGCCUAAC
rnacentral:sRNA from 1 species